UACGGAGGGCGCAAGCGUUAUCCGGAUUCACUGGGCUUAAAGGGCGCGUAGGUGGGUUAGUAAGUCAGUGGUGAAAUCUCCGAGCUUAACUUGGAAACUGCCAUUGAUACUAUUAAUCUUGAAUACCGUGGAGGUCAGCGGAAUAUGUCAUGUAGCGGUGAAAUGCUUAGAUAUGACAUAGAACACCAAUUGCGAAGGCAGCUGGCUACACGAAUAUUGACACUGAGGCACGAAAGCGUGGGGAGCAAACAGG
rnacentral:rRNA from 1 species